rnacentral:rRNA from 1 species
ACCUUAUCCAUAUUGACGGCCAAUUUUGCUCUAAACAACAAAGCGGUGCAUAAGCAUUAGAAUACUUACCGUCAAAAAAAAAAAGCAUUAGAAUACUUAAAAGUCUUCUAUGCACCACAUGUUCCCUAUCCUCUUCGGUGGCACUGUACUUCGCCUUUUUCCUCAAAGUAAAUUGUAAGACCAAUUCCACUACCUCACAAGAGCAGCUAUGCAGUUGACUCCCUCUCCUACUUCAGAAAUGCACUAUAUUGAUAAUGCCAUGAGGUGAGAUUGGGGGGCGUCAGAAAUUUCAAUUUUAGGAGAAGAGAAAACAAAACGCACCGAAACUCCCACCCACUGAACUACAAAUCCGCACGCUGCACCUCCUCUGUCCCUCCAGCGAGCUGCAAAUGGCAGCGUGGCCAACUACACAGUGUCGCCACCGUGGGCGCAUGGCGAACUACAUGGCGUUGCCGCCCGCACUGCCCUGUCGUCGAGUGCCGGUGAAGUGGAGGUCGCCGCACAAUCCGAGGACGAGGAUGAGGGGAUCCGGCUGGAUCACGUGGCUACAGGCGCGGGGGCUCCGACGGUGGCCGGCGUCCACGGCCACUGGAGGCACUUGCGAGCAGGAGGCCCGAGCCGUGCUUGUAGGAGGCCGUCGGGGCGCGAGGUUGGACGGCCGAAGAUGCGCGGAGAGGCGCCGAUGCGGGGCAGCCUCCUCGAUCCCGGCGACCUGAGGGUCGCGAGGCACCGUGAAUGAACGGAUCAGGGCCAUCGGCGAGGGAGCAUGCGGGGGUCAACGGCGGCUGCUGCCCGAUCCCUUCUUCUUAUGGCGCGGCGGGGCCAGCUUCGCUCAGAUCUGUCGUCGAGGCAACGGAGCGGGGGGAGGGAAUUGGUUUCCAGGGGCCAGAUCAGUGUGCGGGAGGAAGGUAGCGGCGGGGUUGAGGCUUGCCCGGCGGAGUGGGGUGCAACGGUGGCGCC